CCCUUAGAUGUUCUGGGCGGCCCGCGCACUACAAUGGCGUGUGAAGCGAGUGCCGAAGUAGAGUUUUCCGAGGUAUUCUUGCAAUGCUCGUUUUGAUGGGGAUAGACCCUUGCAACUGUUGGUUUUGAACGAGGAAUUCCUUGUAAGCAUGGUUUAUCAUCCGACGCUGAAUGCGUCCCUGCCCUUUGUACACACCGCCCGUCGCUCCUACCGAUGAGUCGUCCGGUGAAGUUCGUAGACCUCGUGAUCGCGGAUCACUGGGGGAAGCAAAAUGAACCUCGCGGUUUAGAGGAAGGAGAAGUCGUAACA
rnacentral:rRNA from 1 species